GGGCGAUGAUGUGAAAUUACUGGACCUGAAGUGUAUUUAAUAAAAUACGGUUCAUGAGGGUUUCUACACUUGAACUGAGCUCA
rnacentral:snoRNA from 11 species